rnacentral:tRNA from 1 species
GUUUCCAUAGUGUAGUGGUUAUCACGUCGGCUUUACACGCUGAAGAUCCUCAGUUCGAUCCUGUGUGGAAACA